AUUGAACGCUGGCGGCAUGCCUUACACAUGCAAGUCGAACGGCAGCACGGGAGCAAUCCUGGUGGCGAGUGGCGAACGGGUGAGUAAUACAUCGGAACGUGCCCAAUCGUGGGGGAUAACGUAGCGAAAGUUACGCUAAUACCGCAUACGAUCUACGGAUGAAAGCGGGGGACCGCAAGGCCUCGCGCGAGUGGAGCGGCCGAUGGCAGAUUAGGUAGUUGGUGGGGUAAAGGCCUACCAAGCCUCCGAUCUGUAGCUGGUCUGAGAGGACGAUCAGCCACACUGGGACUGAGACACGGCCCAGACUCCUACGGGAGGCAGCAGUGGGGAAUUUUGGACAAUGGGCGAAAGCCUGAUCCAGCAAUGCCGCGUGCAGGACGAAGGCCUUCGGGUUGUAAACUGCUUUUGUACGGAGCGAAACGGCUUUCACUAAUACUGGGGGCUAAUGACGGUACCGUAAGAAUAAGCACCGGCUAACUACGUGCCAGCAGCCGCAGUAA
rnacentral:rRNA from 1 species